UACGUAGGGUGCAAGCGUUAUCCGGAAUUAUUGGGCGUAAAGAGCUCGUAGGCGGUUUGUCGCGUCUGCUGUGAAAACCCGAGGCUCAACCUCGGGCCUGCAGUGGGUACGGGCAAACUAGAGUGCGGUAGGGGAGAUUGGAAUUCCUGGUGUAGCGGUGGAAUGCGCAGAUAUCAGGAGGAACACCGAUGGCGAAGGCAGAUCUCUGGGCCGUAACUGACGCUGAGGAGCGAAAGCGUGGGGAGCGAUCCGG
rnacentral:rRNA from 1 species